rnacentral:rRNA from 1 species
AACGCUGGCGGCGUGCCUAACACAUGCAAGUCGAACGGUCCACCUUCGGGUGGAUAGUGGCGGACGGGUGAGUAACACGUAGAUAACCUGCCCUACGGUGGGGAAUAACUAUCCGAAAGGAUAGCUAAUACCGCAUAAGCUCUCACAUGUGAGUGUGAGAGGAAACCCAAUCCGCAAGGAGAGGGGCCAAAGGAGGGGUCUGCGGCGGAUUAGCUAGUUGGUGAGGUAAAAGCUUACCAAGGCGACGAUCCGUAGCUGGUCUGAGAGGACGAUCAGCCACACUGGGACUGAGACACGGCCCAGACUCCUACGGGAGGCAGCAGUGAGGAAUAUUCCACAAUGGGCGCAAGCCUGAUGGAGCGACGCCGCGUGAAGGAAGAAGGCCUUCGGGUUGUAAACUUCUUUUUUUGGGGAUGACACGCUUUCCCGCGAGGGGGAGCUAGGACAGUACCCAAAGAAUAAGCCUCGGCUAACUACGUGCCAGCAGCCGCGGUAAUACGUAGGAGGCGAGCGUUGUCCGGAUUUACUGGGCGUAAAGGGCGCGCAGGCGGCAUACCAAGUACGGAGUGAAAUCUCCCUGCUCAACGGGGAGAGUGCUUUGUAAACUGGUAAGCUAGAGGACGGUAGAGGGGGGUAGAAUUGCUGGUGUAGCGGUGAAAUGCGUAGAGAUCAGCAGGAAUACCCGUGGCGAAGGCGGCCCCCUGGGCCGAACCUGACGCUGAGGCGCGAAGGCUAGGGGAGCGAACGGGAUUAGAUACCCCGGUAGUCCUAGCAGUAAACGAUGGCCACUAGGUGUGGGGGGUGUUGACCCCUUCCGUGCCGAAGCUAACGCAUUAAGUGGCCCGCCUGGGGAGUACGGUCGCAAGACUAAAACUCAAAGGAAUUGACGGGUCCCCGCACAAGCAGCGGAGCGUGUGGUUUAAUUCGAUGCAACGCGAAGAACCUUACCUGGGUUUGACAUGCACUCGCAACACCCUGAAAGGGGUGCCUCCGCAAGGACGGGUGCACAGAUGUUGCAUGGCUGUCGUCAGCUCGUGUCGUGAGAUGUUGGGUUAAGUCCCUCAACGAGCGCAACCCUUAUUUCUAGUUGAAUAUCUAGAGAGACUGCCGGAAACAAACCGGAGGAAGGCGGGGAUGAUGUCAAGUCAGCAUGACUCUUACAUCCAGGGCUACACACACGCUACAAUGGAGAGUACAACGAGAAGCCACCCUGCGAAGGGGAGCAGACCUCCAAAAGCUUUCCUCAGUUCAGAUUGCACUCUGAAACCCGAGUGCAUGAAGGCGGAGUUGCUAGUAAUCGCGGAUCAGCAACGCCGCGGUGAAUAUGUUCCCGGGCCUUGUACACACCGCCCGUCACACCACGAAAGUUGGCAAUACCCGAAGCCGGUGGCCUAACCCGCAAGGGAGGGAGCCGUCGAAGGUAGGGUUGAUGAUUGGGGUG